GGCGUGCCUAACACAUGCAAGUCGAACGAAGCACCUUACCGGAUUCUUCGGAUGAAAGUUUGGUGACUGAGUGGCGGACGGGUGAGUAACGCGUGGGUAACCUGCCCUGUACAGGGGGAUAACAGCUGGAAACGGCUGCUAAUACCGCAUAAGCGCACGAGGAGACAUCUCCUAGUGUGAAAAACUCCGGUGGUACAGGAUGGGCCCGCGUCUGAUUAGCUGGUUGGCAGGGUAACGGCCUACCAAGGCAACGAUCAGUAGCCGGUCUGAGAGGAUGAACGGCCACAUUGGAACUGAGACACGGUCCAAACUCCUACGGGAGGCAGCAGUGGGGAAUAUUGCACAAUGGGGGAAACCCUGAUGCAGCAACGCCGCGUGAGUGAAGAAGUAUUUCGGUAUGUAAAGCUCUAUCAGCAGGGAAGAUAAUGACGGCACCUGACUAAGAAGCUCCGGCUAAAUACGUGCCAGCAGCCGCGGUAAUACGUAUGGAGCAAGCGUUAUCCGGAUUUACUGGGUGUAAAGGGUGCGUAGGUGGCAGUGCAAGUCAGAUGUGAAAGGCCGGGGCUCAACCCCGGAGCUGCAUUUGAAACUGCUCGGCUAGAGUACAGGAGAGGCAGGCGGAAUUCCUAGUGUAGCGGUGAAAUGCGUAGAUAUUAGGAGGACACCAGUGGCGAAGGCGGCCUGCUGGACUGUUACUGACACUG
rnacentral:rRNA from 1 species